AGUGGUGAGAUGCAGUUGUAGAGCAUGUGCUUAACAUGCACAAGGUCUGGGUUCAAUCCCCAGCACUUCUC
rnacentral:tRNA from 1 species